rnacentral:rRNA from 1 species
GAUGAACGCUGGCGGCGUGGCUAAUACAUGCAAGUCGAGCGAAUGGAUUAAGAGCUUGCUCUUAUGAAGUUAGCGGCGGACGGGUGAGUAACACGUGGGUAACCUGCCCAUAAGACUGGGAUAACUCCGGGAAACCGGGGCUAAUACCGGAUAACAUUUUGAACCGCAUGGUUCGAAAUUGAAAGGCGGCUUCGGCUGUCACUUAUGGAUGGACCGGCGUCGCAUUAGCUAGUUGGUGAGGUAACGGCUCACCAAGGCAACGAUGCGUAGCCGACCUGAGAGGGUGAUCGGCCACACUGGGACUGAGACACGGCCCAGACUCCUACGGGAGGCAGCAGUAGGGAAUCUUCCGCAAUGGACGAAAGUCUGACGGAGCAACGCCGCGUGAGUGAUGAAGGCUUUCGGGUCGUAAAACUCUGUUGUUAGGGAAGAACAAGUGCUAGUUGAAUAAGCUGGCACCUUGACGGUACCUAACCAGAAAGCCACGGCUAACUACGUGCCAGCCGCCGCCGUAA